GGAAGCAAAAGUCGUAACAAGGUUUCCGUAGGUGAACCUGCGGAAGGAUCAUUACCACACCAAAAAAAUUUCCACGUGAAUGUACUCUGUAUGAGGUUUUGUGUUGCUCCAUUAUGGAGCGACUAGCCGAAGGUUUCGUAAGAAACCGAUGUAUCUUUAAUCCCUUUUAACUAAUUACUGAAAAUAAUUGCAGGCAGAAAUGUGUGCAUGAAGUUGAAAUACAACUUUCAACAGUGGAUGACUAGGCUCGC
rnacentral:misc_RNA from 1 species